rnacentral:miRNA from 1 species
CUGCGACAAGUAAUUCCGAACGGA